UGCAGCAGGGCUGGGCCUGCACUCACCGGCAGCAGGAAGUACAGAGACCCGCACUGCUGGGAACUGCACUGAAAUCUUCUGGAUUUCAUUGAGCAUGCUGAGGAACAGUCAAGGCAAAGUCAUGUAAAUUGUUACACCUUUGACAACUUAUUAUACUGAAGUGAAGAGAUGUCAGUGAGGAUUGAGAUCUGGAUUACUUUAAAGCCUUGCAUGUAGGCCAUGAGGAGUAGCAUUUCCUUGAACAGUGCUGAGGAAGUCUCUCUGAAGAUUCCCUCCCACAACUUCUUGAGCUGACCCAUAUCUUAGCUGGGCUUGAAGCCAAAGUUCUUGUCACUGAAGAAUGCUUUGCUAAAACCUCUCACUUCACAGCACUGUGGAGAGGGAGAGAAGUGUGGUGGUGGUAGUGUUGCUGAAAUCUUAUCCCAAAGCAGAUUCAGAGGCAUUUGGGCAGCUAUGGCCAUGGCUGUUGUCGACUUAAAUUGUUGGGUGGGUAUUUUUGGGUGUGGGGAUAUAUAUUUACUGUGGCAUACAAUCAAACCCAUUGCCCUUUGAUUAGGUGUAUCUUGCACCCUAGUCCCCUCCCCUGAACUUGUUUUCCCCCUCACUUUUUCUGUCAUUUAAAGCUGGGAAAAUAUGUAGUGUUCUAUGUCACAUUACUAUACUUUGUAGCUUUGUGGAAAAGGAAGUUUUGCUGUUACCACUGAGUGAAAUAAGCUAUAUAGUAUGACUGAGCAAUUACUUUAUUUUACAAUUGUAAAGAACCAAAACAUUCUUUGUGGAUGAAAAAAUAAAAUAUUUUAAUUUUCUCUAAAA